GAGAAAAAUUUUUCAAAAAUUAAAAGGAAAUAAUUGAAAUUUUCAAACAAACAAAUUAUAUACUUGGGAAAGAAAAGUUUAAUCACCCUAUGAAGUCGCGCAAAAUGGCUGCCGCGCCCGGCUACUAGAUUUCUUACAGGAUGUUCCGAAAUUAUAUUAUGGAAAAUUGUUUUUUUUUUUUAUGAUUACGGUGAAGUAGUUCUACCAGUUUGUUUAUUUAAUGUCGCCAUUUUAUCGCCGCGCUGUAUAAGACUGUUACUAAAAUGUACUAUGUAAAGUAUACAGAUAUAUACUAAUUAUUUUUAAAUUCUAUAUAUAUCUUAUUUUUUUUUAUUAUUUAUGUACUAGAUCUUGGAUAACCAUUCUGAGCUUAAAUUAAAAAUAUAACAUUUAGGUUUUUAAAUUACUUUAGUUUCAGAGAUCUGAAUUGUUAAGUUAUAUUUGUAAAAAUAUAGUUUAUCUGAGUAAAUAAAUUAUAUUUUAUAAUAUUAUUUCUAAAUAUAUGUAUUGGGUUGACGAAACUUUCAAACGAUCUACUAUCAAAAUUGCCGUAGCAAAACAACUUAGUAAUAAUGCAGACUUAGAUUAAGGAUUGGUCUCCGAUGCGCUCCAACUAGAUACCGCAGGCGUAGUCGCAAUGUGGGCGUACUCGAGCCAAUCUCGAACAAUGUUUGUCGCACGACACGCCACAAGUUAGGGUAUCAUCCCCACCAUCUGGAUGUGUGGCGGUCCUCCACAGUAGGGUUUCCAAGGAACUUUCUUCCACGUACUACAAAACUGUAGAAUGAGCUUCCUUGUGCGGUCUUUCCGGGACGCUACGACAUGGGUACCUUCAAAAAAAGCGCGUACACCUUAAAGGCCGGCAAUGCUCUUGUGAUUCCUCUGGUGUUGCAAGAUAAUGUGGGCGGCGGUGAUCACUUAACACCAGGUGACUCGUACGCUCGUUUGUCCUCCUAUUCCAUAAAAAAAAAUGUGCGAUGUUGACGUGCAACAUGUUCUGUUAAACUUUGUAAAAAUAAUCACAUAUCAUCAGUAAGCAUUUUGUAUUUUAUUAAUUGCAAUGUAAAAUAACACGAAGCGUAUGUUACAAAAUUUAAAAGAUGCCAUCGAGUGUCAAGAUGCCCCACGCACACAUGCAUCUAAUAGUUCUUAUAAUAAAAAAGCUAUUGUUAUUAGGUAGCGCGGUAUCUAGUUGGAGCGCAGCGUAGACCCUUCUAGAUCCUUAAUCUAAGGAAAUACAAUAUAACUGAACAUAAUAGAUUUGAAUCGUUUGAAUGAGUCUUCGCUCCCUCGUCUACUGUACACAAGAGGAGAAAUACUCACCGGACAUAUUUAUCUUAAGAUAUAGUUGCCACCAUGAAAUUAAAAUAAACUAGGAUUUGAUGUUGGAAUAACCAGGACAAUUCAGUUUAACAACGAGACGCAGUAAUAGCUAUUUGAAUUAAUAUUUAAAUAAAAAACAUAUUUUUUAAAUACAACCAGUGGGAGGCUCCUUUGCACAGGAUGCCGGCUGGAUUUUGGGCACCACAACGGCGUCUAUUUCUGCCGUGAGGCAGCAAUGUGUAUACAUUAUUGUGUUUCGCUCUGAAGGGUGCCGUAACUAGUGAAAUUGCUGGGCAAAUAAUAAGACUUAACAUCUUAUGUCUCAAGUUGGAAAAGUGCCCCAUUUUUGUGUUUUUCAAGAAUCCUGAGCGGCACUGUGUUGUAAUGGGCAGGGCGUAUCAAUUACCAUCAGCUGAACGUCCUGCUCGUCUCGUCCCUUAUUGUCAUAAAAAAGUAUUUGAACAAUGUUAUACGAAUUGAAAACAAAAUAAAUUAUUGAUCUAAAAGCGACGACAUAAAUUAAAUAUUAUCACAUUUACAAGUAUCUCUCUAUUUUAAUCUGUAUUCUCUAAAUAAAUGAUACCAAUGAUUUAAAAAAAACUAAUUAUGUGAGUGAUGUGGACAGGUGCUGGUCUUAUACAACGGGGUGUUUUGUCACUUGUUUAUGGGAACAAGUUAUCUAAAACACGACACAUACCUUUUUUUUGUGACAGUAAGGGACGAGACGAGCAGGACGUUCAGCUGAUGUUAAUUGAUACGCCCUGCCCGUUACAAUGCAGUGACGCUCAGGAUUAUUGGAAAUAAAAACCCAAAAGUUCUGUCACCUUGAGGCAUAAGAUGUGAAGUCUCAUUUGCCCAGUAAUCUCACUAGCUACGUAGCUCAUCAGACCGAAACAGUAAUGCUUACACAUUACUGCAUCACGGCAGAAAUAGGCGCCGAUGUGGUAUCCAUAAUGUAGCCGGCUUCCUGUGCAAAGGAGCCUUCCACUGGUAAAUAUAUAUAAGUAUCACACAUUUGAAACUGUAAUAAGAAGCGUUAUUAGCAACGAAAUCAGUAUUAAAAAAAUAAAAUCUGGUAUUUUAUUUAAUGUAAGAUAUCUUUUGUUGGCUUUUAAUAACUUCCCUUGUACAUUUUGAGGCGCAGACCAUUCCUAAGACACCUACUGCUACUGUUUCGUUCAAAAGAGUAUCUUGGUAUCAAUUCGAUACGAGUACACUUUGAAUCCGUUUGUUUUGUUUCAUCAUCAGCCGGAAGACGUCCACUACUGGACAAAGGCCUCCCCCAAUGAAAGCCCUCGUCCAACGUAUUCCGGCGAUCUUGACCAGAUCGUCGGUCCAUCUUGUGGGGGUCCUACCAACACUGCGUCUUCCGGUACGUGGUCGCCAUUCGAGGACUUUUACUGCCCCAACAGUCAUCUGUCCGUCGAACUAUGUGUCCUGCCCACUGGCACUUCAGUUUCGCAAUCGUUUGGCCUAUGUCGGUUACUUUGGUUCUCCUACGGAUCUCCUCCUUCAUGAUUCGAUCUCGCAAGGAAACUCCGAGCCGACCGAGCUACCAUGAGCUUUCUCAAAAGGCCCAUAGUUAGCGACCACGUCUGCGUACCGUUGCCUUGUUUAUACUACCGCUAAUAUGGACGAAUUAAAUCUUCAAUUAAAUCUUCACAGAUAAUUUUUUAUCUAUUUUGGGCAUUUACUAGUGAGUGGCUUCUUAGCACAGGAUGCCGGCUAGAUUAUGGGUACCACAACGGCGCCUAUUUCUGCCGUGAAGCAGGAUUGUAAGCAUUACUGUUUCGCUAUGAAGGGCGCCGUAGUAAAAUUACUGGGCAAAUGAGACUUAUCAUUUUAUGUCUCAAGGUGACGAGCGCAAUUGUAGUGCCGCUCAGAAUUUUUGGGCUUUUCAAGAAUCCUGAGCGGCACUGCAUUGUAAUGGGUAGGGCGUAUCAAUUUACAUCAGCUGAACGCCCUGCUCGUCUCCUCCCUUAUUUACAUAAAAAAGCUACGGCCCGCAUCAGUCCUCUCCUAUCCCUCUCGUCAUCUCCCCAUACGGGCGAAGUCUAAUUUUAACGGUUUCUUUAAAAUCUUAAUUAUCUGUACGAUAUUUUUUUAGGAUCCCCAGCAUUUCAUUUAAAUGUAAAGUUAUAAGAAUACGAUCAAGGUUAAUAAAUAAAAAUGAAAACCAAUUAAUUGACAUUGAAAUAAUAACCGCAGAAGUUUGUGUGUUGUUGUAAAAUGAUUGUAUAUAAAAUAUGUCUUUCAUAAUAUACAUAGAUAUUACCACCUACACGGUGGUAAUAUCUAUGUAAACGUGUUCCCAGAGUAAUAAAUAACCAACUUAGAUUAAGGAUUGGUCUCCGCUGCGCUCCAACUAGACACCGCAGGCGUAGUCGCAAUGUGCAGCAACUAAUACUACGCCCAAUUGGGCGUACUCGAGCCAGUCUCGAUCAAUUUGUCACGUCGACGCGCCACAAUAUGUUCUGUUAAACUUUUGAUGAUAAUGUGUAGUAAAAGAAAUAAGAAAGACCCUGGGAUCACAUAUCAUCAGUAAGUAUUUUGUAUUUUAUUAAUUUCAAUGUAAAAUAACACGAAGCGUAUGCUACAAAUUCGAAAGAUGCCAUUUAGUGUCAAGAUGCCACGCACACAAGCAUCUAAUAGUUGUCGCAAUAAAAAAGCUAUUGUUCUUAGGUAGUGCGGUAUCUAGUUGGAGCGCAGCGGAGACCAAUCCUUAAUCAGAGAUAACCAAAUUAUCAAGGGAAAUCUGUAUUAUUUUGAUGUUAUUAUGAUUGUCAUGUUGAAAUAAUUUGCCGGCAUUUUGAAAACCUGUAUGUAAGUAGGUAGAGUUCUUAUAUGAAUGUAUGUUUAUAAGAUUUUUGAAUAUUUGGUGUGAUUCAGUAUAAACGAUAGUAUAUUGUACAAAUUUCCGUUACCAUGAUACUUGAAUGUACAUAAUGUGCAAAUAUUUACGCUUAUUGUAUGAAGUAUAUAAUAUUCUAAUUAAAUUCUAAGGGUUGUAUACUUUACGCAAACACUGCCGAUUUUUUUUUACAUUUUUUUUUAUACAGCAACAAAGGUUACAGGCAAUGAAAGGAAAUAGAAAGUUAUAAUUACCAUCUUUAACAAACGCUUAUAAAAAAGUCAUAAAAGGCAUUUAUUUUCUCAAAAUUGAUUCUUUUAGCAUUAUUUUUGAUGUCAUUUCUAAUACUACUUGCUUUGGAAACAAAUGGCGCUCUGAGAGAGAAGAAUCGGCGCAAGAAACUCUCCCAGCAUUUUUUUUUGCGCUCUUUUUAAUAAAAUAUACAAUACUUAUAUACUUUGCCUCAUGUUUAGCAUAUAUAUAUAUAUAUAUAUAUUAUGCUUUAUAUUUAGUAAGCAAUUUAUUUUUAUACAAUGGUUAUAUUAUAUUUGUAUAUGUGUCUACCUAUUUAUUUUCGUCGUCAAAAGUCAAAAGUCGUCAGUCAAGUGCCAGAUUUUGGAGAGACAACACUGCCUCGUGCAGAGGCGAAACACGUGUCGAAUUGUUUAAAGACAAAUAUUGGCGGAAUUAACACUAAAGAAAACUUAAAUCAUUUGUAUAAUUAUGGAUUUCCGCAAAGUAACGCCUACUUCAAUAAAUUUAACUAUUUUUUUUCAUAGUAACAUUUCACUAAUGGCGCCCUGGUUAGUGAUGUAACUUAUUAUUCAUUGUAUGUGCCAUUGUAUUAUUGUUUUCACACGACAGCUCAUAAAAGAUAUUUAUAAUUUGUUUAAUACCAUUAUUUUGUAAAAUUUCCUCUUUCAAUGACGCUAUAUUUUGUUUAUGCUAUAUAUAUUUUUAGUAGGCAUGUAUUUACAAUUCUGAAAAAUAUCCUACUAUACCUAUAAUCUUAUAAAAUUGAUUUAUAUUACUGGCCUUAAUUAUGAUUAAAUAAAAUUAUUUCAUAAAUAUUUAUUAUUUGCAUCUCUAUUGUAAUAUCUCUUAUAUGUCAUACAGAGAAAAAAUCUGAAACAAAAAUCUCUGACAAAAAAUAUAGACAUAAAUUUAGUGAUGACAAAAAAUAAUGAAAGUGAUGGUCUCUCCAAAAAUUUGUUCAAAAAGGUUAGAUAUGUAUUAUAAAUAUAACAAGGACAUAUAUAUAUAUAUAUUUAAGUAUUUCGAAUUAUUUGGUUUAAAAUAUUUCAAACGCAAGUGUAACAUAAGAAUGUACCUUGCUGCAUGCUGCAAUGUGCCUUGCUGCAUGCUGCAAUGUACAUUGCUGCAUGAGUAUUGUUACAUGAAUGUAAAAUAAAAUUAUGUCAGUUUCAAGUACGGCAAUACACAUCCCAAGAUGAUUGAUAAUAUUUGCAGGUUUUGAGCUUGAUCACACUUAUAUGAGUGAAAUAAUAUAAUCUCAGCACACAGAGGUAAUGUAUGUAUCCAAUAUUGUAUAAGUAAUACGCUUUUUGAAUGCAUUUUAUAACAAGCUGAGACUUGAAAAACACAUACCAAGAUUUACGAACUAUGCGUCACGCGAACGAGUGGCUCAGUUCAGACGGAACCCGAGAGGCCGCGGGUUGAGUUCCGCAUCGUUGAUAAAUUUUGGUAAAUAGCAAAUUGUCCAAUAUCUUGUCUCAAACGUAUCACUAUUAAUAUAGUUAUGUACACUAAUAGAACUGACUCAAGUGAUCAUAUAACAAAAUGUCGUCGCUUAUAUAAUUAUAACUGAUUGCUUGAUAUUGUUCACACUGGGUACAAUUUAUGAUAAAAUAAUACAUCUUCUUCACAGUUGUUCCCUCAUUGCUGAGGAUCGUGACUCCGCUUAAGUUCGUCUACAGCUUUCCUCCGUUUCGGUCUGUCGCAUGGUGGAGUGCGAUGCUGAUGGGUUGGUUAGUCUGCUCGGAUAUUUGGUCAGACCAGCGUCGUGGGCUCCGGCCUCUUGGUCUCUUCCCCUCAAUUUUCCCGGUGACCAUCAGACGUUCAAGGUUAUCAGAUAGCACCGCGUCGUGCAAUGUGGCCAAAGUAUGUCAUGAUCCGCUGCAGACAUGUAGUACAUACAAACAAAAUAAUACAUACCUAUUACUAAUGGCCGCAUUAUCUCUAGACCUCGCUGGAACGUUAACCCCCCUCCUGUUCCCCUUUCACCCCCUCGUGCUCGGCUGCCAGAAAAAUAAAUACUUUUUUUACUUAACCCAGAUUCGUUCAUUGUUUUUUCAUGAUAAUAAUAAUGAAUAAUCAGCAUCAGAACAACACCUUUACAUCAAUCUUAUAUCUUUAAACGAGCAAUUCUUGUAUACAUAUAUAUAUAAUUUGAAUCUCGGAAACGGCUCCAACGAUUUUAAUGAAAUUUAGUAUACCGGAAGUUUCGGGGGCGAGAAAUCGAUCUAGCAAGGUUUCAAUUUAAAAAAAAAUGUUUUAAUGAGAAACUGCUACAAUAAUAUUAGAAUACAAUGGUAAAUUUCGCCACUAUAUACCAGACUAUAAUAGAUGGGCGAACCGGAAAGUAGAAGACCCCGGUUCGAGAAUCAAGAUAUUCUAUUAGUUUGUUUUUUGUUAAAAUUUUGUACUUUCUUAAAAAGCCGAGCAAAGCUCGGUCGUCCAGGUAGUUAUUUAUAAUACUACGUGUGGCACUCGAGGACCGCCGCGGUGAAGCUAUUUCAUAGCAUUUUUUAUCAACUUAUGCAAUUAUAAUUAUUUAUUUAUUUGACAGGUGAAACUAAAUAAAAAUGCUUGUCAUAAUAAUAAAAAUUAAAAAAACGUAAUAAAAAAAAGAAAUUAAAAAAAAUCACGACUUACCCCAGGCUCGAACCUGGGACCUUCUGCGCUAAAAGCAUACGUGAUAAUCGCUGUUUCACGGCAACUGUAAUGACCGUGGCGAAAUAUCUAUAUAGAUCUAGUAAGUGUUAAGUUAUUUUCGUUACGGAAUUUCUGGAUUCGGUCUCCACGCUCAAGGCCCGCGAUAGAAGCUAUGCAAUAGCUUAAUAAAUCGUUUAUUUGUUAAUAAUAAUAUCCUAACGAUGCUUGUGUUGUGCAACUUAACAAAGCCAUAUGUGUCAAAUACAACGCGUCAACUCUGUCACUAAACGGAGCAGCGAGGGGGUGCGGAAGGAAGGGGAGCGUCGUCCCUCUGCCGCCCGCACGUCAGUUGCGUGCCGCAUGUAAGCUUGUAACGUACAUGAAAUCAGUUGCACGUGUUUGGUGUUCACAGGCGAAAACAGACUUUCGCUACUAAGUGAUUAUUUUUAUUAUAUUGUGCUAUAAAUGGCUGUGCGUUAAAAUGUUCAAGCAAGGCACAAUCGCAUAUUUUUAGUGAGUAAAGGUCAAGACAACGUUGUCGGUAUUUAGUAGCACAAAGGAGUUCGCCCAUUAUUAGUAUUUAUAAAACACAUGCUAUAUUUUUGUUGAAAAUGUUUUCAUACCAACAAUUGUUCUAUUUGUUAUUUAAAUGAAAAAUAAUCAAACUCAAACUAUUUGAUUAAUGUUGUUAUAGUCUGACAACUGCGUGCGCGACCGAUCGAAGCCUUAAAUGGUCUAAUACGUUUUUCGCUUAUUUGAAGCAUAUUUAUUUUGAGGGUAGUUUGAUUUUACUGUGCCCUGAAAUAAAAUGGUUUUUCCACUUGGAUCUCACGGUAUAGAUAUGAAAUAUGUGGUGAACAUGUCAAUUGUUCUGCUUAUUCUUUAUUUGUUUUAGGUUUGUCGUUAAUACAUCACCAGUUUUACCUAAAAAGGUCGGGCUAUGUAGAAUAAUUAAGAGAUCGUCAAUACUAUUUCAGUAACUUUUAAGGCGGCCUAAAAAUAUAGACAUAAUACUCAUUAACAAUAAAAAAAAAUACGUGACUUUUUUUUAAUAAUUUUUGCAAGCGAUGUUUAAAAUUGCGAAUGGUAUUAGGUUAUGUUUGUCAAUUAUUUUCUAUUUUGGUGGGGUAACUGAUAAACCAGUUUUUUGGUGAUUAUAAAGUAACUGUAUAUAUUAUAAUUAAAUUAAAGUAUUUUACCUUUUUUUUACACUUCUUGCAAAUUUAUUUACACGUAUUUUACAUACUGUAUUUGUGAUCGGACAUACAUUUUAAGAACUUAUUCAGCAUUUUGUAUUUAAUUUACCUAAAGAUAACAAAAUAAAAAUAUUUACCUACUGCUUCCUAUUGUAUAAGUUGUAUUGUUUUGUAUGGUAUUUCCGAAAUUAUUGGCGCUAUACCGUACAACUAAAUAAACACAGAAUCGGAAGAAUUGUCAAUGAUGGAUUAGUUACAGUAUGUAUCAAUCAUACCAGAGAAUAGAGGUUUGAGACAGGAACAUCGAAUGGUGAUGUCACCUUUCAUAACAGUGUAGCACCAAAACAAGCCGAUUAACGUGUAAAUACAUAGCCCCACGCACACACACUACUACAGGCCGAUGGGCGGCCAUUAUGAGAAUUGUCAUCGUCUGUGACAGAUCAGUUUGCGUCUCGGUAAAAUAUUUUAAAAAUGCCGUCGUGCGUUGUGAAAUAGUGUAAAAACAAUACUAUAUAAGUAUUUGUGGCCAUAUAUGAUUAUUUAAGGGAGAAAAAAUUGUGUAACUAGUAUCCCCCGUAAACGCACACACACUAGCAUAACGGUGCUUCACUUGCUAAUAUCACGGCGCGGAGUCCUUCUUUUUUUACUCGUCCGUGGGUGAUGUUAAUGAGCUAAGUUUUGAGUUUUGGAUCUCGAGUUUUGAAACGCCCGUGAUGUGUUUAUGAAGAGCAGACUGUCUUAUACUUUCAUAUCAUUUAAUAUCAAGCUAAAUAGAUUUAACAGUUCCAAAAUUAUGUCCAUUAACUGUUCUUAUACUAAUUAAUAAUAAUACGCGCACUUGCAAAUGAUGUAAUUUAAAAAGGUUGGAAUAAUGAAGUCUUAAGUACCAAUACUGGCAAUUCGUCUAAUCGAGGCGCAAGAGUGCCCAGAUUAUACAAUCCUAAUUGAUCAAUAAAAUAAGAUAAUUUUACAAGUGGGAGGCUUCUUUGCACAGGAUGGAUUAUGGAUACCACAUCGGCUUCUGUCAUGAAGCAGUUAUGUGUAAGCAUUACUGGUUUUCGGUCUGAAGGUCGCCGUAGCUAGUGAAAUUACUGGGCAAAUGAGACUUAUUACGUUAUGUCUCAAGGUGACGAGCGCAAUUGUAGCGCCGAAUUUUUUACGUUUUUCAAGAAUCAUGAGCGGCACUGCAUUGUAAUUGGCAGGGUGUUUCAAUUACCAUCAGCUGAACGCCCUGUACGUGCCGUCCCUUAUUUUUAUUUAAUAAAAUGACUACCUCGCAUUCAUUGUUAUUGUGAAGUAACUCGUAGUUCCUGAAAAACGUUCCAAGCCACAAACAUCACAUUUUAAGGGAUUCGUGUUUAAAGUUUAAUUAAUAUUAGUGAGUUCCAUACAUGUGCGUUGGGCUACUAAGUCAUGAUGUCAUUUAAAGAGUGACAGUAGGGCUGCCAUUUUUGGUCAGUCCGUUAAUAUGUAUCACGUGACCUGUUUUGUGUUCCUCAAUUUCGACAUGCUUGUGGUUUGGAACGUUUUUCUGAAAUUACGUUCCAUUAUAAGUACCUACUUUCGCAUUGCGUUCGAUUCUAUGACACCAAUAACAAAAAUACCAAUCACCCUAAAAUCGUAUAAAAUACAAGUCAAAUGUACCGCACACAUUGAUACGAUAUGUAAAGACUUAUAACAUAUGACAAUGUUUUAACACCACUUGUACCUAAUAAAUGUCGGUAUGUGCUAUAUAUUGGUUAAAUAGUAAACUAUUGCAAUAUAAUAUGUUAUAUCAAUUACGUUAAUGUUAAUACACUUUUUUAAAGAUAAAAAUAUUGUUGUACGCAUGCCGGUUGUGACCAAAGCGAACUUCCGUUAACUGUAUUAAAUGUACUAAAAAUUAACAAUAUUAUUUAUAGAUACCAUAACAUAAUGCAUAUAAUAGGUACCUUUUAACCGUACCUGUUACCAAAUUGUGCAACAAUAUAUUUAUUUAGUAAUAUCGGUAUGAAGUAUUAAUAGUUUUUGCUCAAGCUUACCUGAUAUUAUGUUAAUCGGUUACAGUAUGCGGAAUUUUACUCGCCUGCUAAUAAACUAUAGGUUUUAUAUUUUAUAUAGAUCUUCUAAAAUAACACAGUUGUUUAAUAAUAUAUUUCUUUAUUUACAAUUGUAUAUUUUGUGUGAGCAACACACACCACAAACUAUUCUAAAUCUAUAAUAAGUAUUGGUAAUGUGAAUUGAUGUAACUCAGAAUGGAUUGGGUAUCGUUUACGUUUGUAAAUAAGGACUUUGUACAGAGCGCAUGUAAGCUAUAUUAACGCUUACCAUUUAAAAAUUAAAUCACUGUGAAUAACUA